AGUUGAUAAAGGCAAACUAUUCGAAAGGAUAGGACGCAAAGUCAUGGGUCUAAAGCACUUAAAGUACUAUGACCGCCAGGCUGCCGGC
rnacentral:ncRNA from 1 species